AUUGAACGCUGGCGGCAUGCUUUACACAUGCAAGUCGAACGGUAACAGGCCGCAAGGUGCUGACGAGUGGCGAACGGGUGAGUAAUGCAUCGGAACGUGCCCAGUCGUGGGGGAUAACGCGGCGAAAGCUGUGCUAAUACCGCAUACGAUCUAUGGAUGAAAGCGGGGGACCGUAAGGCCUCGCGCGAUUGGAGCGGCCGAUGUCAGAUUAGGUAGUUGGUGGGGUAAAGGCCCACCAAGCCAACGAUCUGUAGCGGGUCUGAGAGGACGACCAGCCACACUGGGACUGAGACACGGCCCAGACUCCUACGGGAGGCAGCAGUGGGGAAUUUUGGACAAUGGGCGCAAGCCUGAUCCAGCAAUGCCGCGUGCAGGAAGAAGGCCUUCGGGUUGUAAACUGCUUUUGUACGGAACGAAAAGGUUUGGGUUAAUACCCUGGGCCGAUGACGGUACCGUAAGAAUAAGCACCGGCUAACUACGUGCCAGCCGCCGCAGUAA
rnacentral:rRNA from 1 species